rnacentral:tRNA from 1 species
CCCUGGUGGCUUAGUGGUGAAGAAUCUGCCUGCAAUGCAGGAGACUCAGGUUUGAUCCCUGGUUCAGGCA